UGGUUGUGAACGCGUGGCUACAAAGGAAAUGCCAUGUAGAAGGUACUCACUGGAAAGUCAAUUCUCGUCGAAGCUACUGGAACGGUUCACAAAUAGAGAUUUAUGAAGGACAAAAGAAUGACGUACGCCUGUACGGAGUGUCCUAUAAAAGCCAGGCAGUUCCUAUAGUCUACACACAUCUGAAAUAUCCUACCUAUACAGGAAAGUUUCAACGAUCUCUUCGUGGACACAAUGACGCCUCUACGUUUCGCUGUUGUCUUCGUCCUCCUCUUUGGUGGAUUUGUCGCCAUUGAAGCUGCACCUGAAGGACACGAGCUUGAACGUCGUGACGUUGUCAUUCAGCUCUGCGCUUGUCUUCCGGGUGUUACCGAUUGCCCUAGCCAAAGUUGCACAGAGGCGAGCGAGUGUUUGGAAUGCGCCGAUCUCGCGGUAUGCCUUUGUAUUGGGGAUACCGUUUGCGAUGGAAACAGUUGCACAUCGGCAAGCGACUGUAACGAUUGCUCCGAUAUCAUUGAAUGAACAACAUGGCUGACUGGCAUCCCUCAACUACGAAAUGAUCAAUUGCACGUAUAUGAAAUAAGAGACCCUGGUAUUCUCUUUUACCAAUAUGUUCAUGGGUGGCGGGAACUUUUGAGGGCAAUAAAUUGUACCAAGCAGCAGA